ensembl:lncRNA
AGAAUAUCCUCUGUCCACUUUUCUUCCAACAUAAAUCUUAUUCAUUCUUCAAAAGCCAGCUUAAGACGCAUCAUCUCUGUUUUACAUUCUUUUACUAAUUCUGCCCUAUUAUGAAAUUUCUAUUAUUAUAAAUUCCCUUAUUUCUUUUGCUUAUUUAUUACUUUUUAGUUUUUCUUUGUUUCAUUUAAAGCCUGGAUUUCUGCUGAUCAGUGGUCAGUUUUUCCUUUUGUAUGUUCCAAAACUCUUAAUGAAGUGAUAGUUAUGUUGUCAUUGCUUAUUAAUUUAAAUUACCCACCCAGGAUAAUUGAUCAAAUGUACCACUUGUUGAAACCAGUGAUGUUUUUUAAAAAAAUUUAUGUCUAAAUCCUAUCCUUUUUUUUAAAAAAAAAAUCCACUUUAAUUCCUGCUUCAUAAUGCUAUAAAGUAAUAAAACUUAUUGAGAAUUAAAGUUGUUUAUUUGGAAAAUGUAUUUUUUUAAAAAAAUCUUAUCUUAACAUUAAAAAAAUUAGUUUCAAUCUCAGUCUUUUUCUAACCUACUGAAAAUGCAAGCAAUAUGACACACUAUAUAUGAGAAACCAUUUAAAACUUUUUAUUGUGUUCACCGUGUUACAAAACAGUCAGGAAAAAUAAAGUGAGAAAAUUACACUCAUACUUCAUCAAUUCUCUCUGUGAGGUAGAUAAUUUUCAUUAUGAUUGUUUGAAAUUGUCUUGAAUCAGAGUAGCUAAAUCUUUCGCAGGAAAUCAUUAUUACAAUAUUGCUGUUACUAUUCUCCUGGUUAUUUUCGCUUCACUUUGUACCAGUUCAUAUAAGACUACCCAGAAUUUUCUUUCUUUUUUUUUUUUUUUUGCUAAGUUGGAGUUAAGUGACUUGACCAAGUCACAUAGCUAGAAAGUGUUAAGUAUUUGAAACCAGAUUUGAACUCAGAUACUCAUGACUUCAGGGCUGGUGCUCUACCCAUUGCAUCAACUAGCUGCCCCUAGAUUUUUCUGAAGCCAUUCUCAUCAUCUCUUACAGCACAAUAAUGGUUUAUUUAUUUAUAUGGGAAAUGUACACUGUAUGUUUAAGAUUCAUACAAACAAUAUGGUAGCUCAAAAGAAAGAUUGGCAGAGUUAACAUAAAAAUAGUAAUUAUAGUAUACAAAUGAAGUGCAGAGGAAGAAUAGAUACAGAGGCAUUAGAGGAGGCAGGAAACCUCACAUGGGAAAUGGAUUUAAUAGGAAACACUACAUAUGUACCUUAAAGAGUAUAGUAUCUUCCAAAAUCUAUAAGGAAAUAAGGGGGGAGGGAUGGGAGGAUGGGGAAGCAAAGGAGGUGGGAAGAAGACAAGAGAGGGAUCAAUGUUAAGCAACACAAGUAAAGCAAAGUCAACAGAGAUAGUAAAGGGUUGUGUGUGUAUGUGUAUCUAUAUAUGUAUGUAUAUAUGUAUACAGAAAUACAAAUUUUUUUAAACUUUGGCUGCUUGGGGGCAGGAUGGUAAACUAGACUAAGUAGGGUAUACAGCAGAGAACAAAAGAACAAUUUACAAGGAAGUAAAGAAAAAAAUGAACUUUCAUGAAUAUAAUUUCUUCUACUAAUAUAUAUAUAUUUUCUUGAUUCUGGCAAUUUGUUAUGUAUUUUGAAUCCUCCCUGAUGUUGUGCUGGGCACAUGACAAUGUUCUUUUUUGUUUUAUUUUGUUUUAUAUUUCUUUUCUGGCUUUUUUUUCCCGACCUGUCCUGCUGACCUUCUAAGUUGUCUUAAGCUGGAAAAAUGUCUCACCUUAAGCUUUUUUUUUUUUUUUUCCUUUUGCUGGGCCACUGAAGAAUUUUAUUUGAGUUAUUAUUUUUAAGUUGUUUGGAGGAAAAUAUUGGGACAGUUUGACUGAGUUGCUGCCUCUACUUUGUUAUCAGAGUAUUUUAUGUCUGUCCAUGUUUUGAAAAUUUCUCCAGAUCCAUUUAGUUAAUUUGAGGCAUCUUGCAGUAGUUCAAAACCAGGACUGGGUAUUGGGGAAUAUGAAUAUAAUGGGAAUAUUGUACAUCUUAUAAAAUAACAAGUGUAUUAUCUAUAUGUAUUUCUUUUUUACAUAAUUAACAUACUUAAUGUUAAAUACAUUGCUCUUGAGAAGCCUCUUUACUAGUAAUCCUACUCUAUGCACUUAUUCAUUUAUGUAAUAUUACCAUAUUAUUAAUAGCAUUAUAUGUACUUGUUCCUUCUCUUUUUAUAUUUCCUGCCUCCCAUAAGCUAUCAUAUAUUCAAGAUACUGUGUGGAUCUGCAUCUCCUCAAAACCAUAGGGUUCACUCUACCAACAAGCUUAAUCUUAAAAAUCACUAAUUACUUUUUAAAAGCUGGGCUUGUGAUUUCUUUCAUGUAGGGCUCUGUCAGUGAGAAAUAUUUUUCUACCAAUGUAGAUAAGCGACUGUUACUUUGAGUUACUUGGAGCAUUGAAAGGUUAUAUGAUUUCUUUUGAGUUUAAAGAGCAGUAUAUGUAUUAGGGGCAACACAUGAACCUAGGCCUUCCUGAGUACUAGGCUAGUUCUUCAUCAAAUUUUAUUUUUCCUUUCCUGUACUUAUUUUUACUAAUUAUUCAAAGGAUACAAUUGUAUUAAUACAACACUCACUCACCCAAAUCUUGGGCACACUCUCCCACAAAAAACAAAUUGCUAUUUGACAAAAAUUGCUGGAAAACUAGACAGCAAUCUUGUAGAAAUUAGAUUUAGACAUAUUUCAUAAUUAUGCAUAAAGUAUACCUGAGUACUUGAUCAAGUAAAUUCUAGGAAGGAUCACAGAAAAAAAAGGGAUUAAUUUUGAUUACAAAAAAUUAAAGUUUUUUGCACAACCAAUGCAAUUAAAAUUAAUAGAGAAAUAGCUCACAGUGGAAAAAACAUUUUACUCCAGGGUUAUCUAACAAAAUUCUGAUGUUUAAGACAUAUAAGGAAGUGAUCCAAAUGCAUAAGACUAAAGAGCCUUUCUCUAAUGGAUAAAUAGUCAAGGGAUAAGAGUAGUUCUUUUUUUUCCUGAAAGAAAUCUUUUAAUUUUGAAAUGUCCCUUAGUUUUCUUUUUUAUAUUAAUUUUUUAGGUUAUAUAUGUAUAUUAAUUUUUUACAUAUUUCUACAUGAGUCAUGUUGGGAGAGAAAAAUCAGAAAAACCACAAGAGGGAAAAAAGAAAAAAGGUGAAAAUAGUAUGCUUUUUUUCACAUUCAGUCUCCAUAGUUCUCUUUCUGGAUGCAGAUGGCAUUUUCCAUCCAAAGUUUAUCGGACUUGCCUAAGAUCACUGAAUUACUGAAAAGAGCUAAAUGUAUGAUAAUGGCUCAUCACAAUCUUGCUGUUGCUAUGUGUAAUGUUUUUCUGGUUUUGAUUGCUUUACUCAGCAUCAGUUCAUCAGACUUUUCUGAAUUCAGCCUGUUCAUCAUUUCUUAUAAAAUAAUAUUUCAUUAUUUUCGUGUGCUAUAAUUUUUUAAGACAUUCCCCAAUUGAUCAAUAUCCACUCAUUUUCUAAUUCUUUGCCACAACAAAACUGCUAUAAACAGUUUUUUCACAUAUAAGUCCUUUUCCCUUUUAUAAUCUCUUUGGUAUACAAACCCAAUAGGGACACUUCUAGGUUAAAGAGUACACAAGAACCAGGAGAUCAUUAUAUACCUCAACAACGAUACUGUAUGAGCAUGUAUUCUGAUGGAAGUGGAUUUCUUCGACAAAGAGAAGAUCUAGCUCAGUUUCAAUUGAUCAAGGAUGGACAGAAGCAGCUACACCCAAAGAAAGAACAUUAGGAAAUGAAUGUAAAUUGCUUGCGUUUUUGUUUUUCUUCCCGGGGUAUUUAUACCUUCUAAAUCCAAUUCUCCCUGUGCAACAAGAGAACUGUUUGGAUCUGCACACAUAUAUUGUAUCUAAGAUCUACUGUAACCUAUUUAACAUGUAUAGGACUGCUUGCCAUCUGGGGGAGGGGGUGGAGGGAGAGAGGGGAAAAAUUGGAACAGAAGUGAGUGCAAGG